CCUACGGGUGGCAGCAGUAGGGAAUAUUGCUCAAUGGGGGAAACCCUGAUCCAGCGACGCCGCGUGAGUGAAGAAGUAUUUCGGUAUGUAAAGCUCUAUCAGCAGGGAAGAAAAUGACGGUACCUGACUAAGAAGCCCCGGCUAACUACGUGCCAGCAGCCGCGGUAAUACGUAGGGGGCAAGCGUUAUCCGGAUUUACUGGGUGUAAAGGGAGCGUAGACGGUGCAGCAAGUCUGAUGUGAAAGGUCGGGGCCCAACCCCGGGAGUGCAUUGGAAACUGUUGAACUGGAGUACAGGAGAGGUAAGCGGAAUUCCUGGUGUAGCGGUGAAAUGCGGAGAUAUCAGGAGGAACACCGGCGGCGAAGGUGGCCUGCUGGACUGAAACUGACGUUGAGGCUCGAAAGCGUGGGGAGCAAACAGGAUUAGAUACCCGAGUAGUC
rnacentral:rRNA from 1 species